GAUGAAUCCUUGGAUUGAAACGGUCCCCUGGUGUAAGAGCUUAUGGCGUGUGUGUGUGUGUGUGUGUGUGUCCAUGCUUGCGCGUUGUCAGUGCGUUGCUGCCGCGCCAUCUGACUUUUCCAAAUUCACCAGCCAAGAUAAGACCCUUUUUGUAACACACCUUGUUGGCCCUUUGGUGUAUCGUGCUCUUAUCUUUAGGGGGGCAGGUGUCUGAAAAACCUGCCGUCCGCACCCCUCGGUACAUUUAUCGCGCCCACGCUCGCACACAGCGAUGUUUGCUCAGAUUUCCCGCCGGCGAUAACACGCUCGGCAAAUAAUGCUUGAGUAAGUAACCAUUUUGGUACAGCAAUGUCCAUUUGGGUCAAUUGUUUCAACAUGAAAAAAUGUUUGUUCGAAAAAACUUUCUCCCGCCAUCCUCUUAAGACGCUUCUGAGAACUCCACCUUCUCCCUUCUUUCUUUGUUUGCAUUUGUUCCUCUUCUGGCGCAGUGACUGUUGAGCCCACAGGCCUUUUACGACUCUAACACCAAAAGUUAAAAAAAAGGCACUAAUGGCACCUUGUUAGUACACCGACGCAUGCUCACACACACACACACACACACACACAGACUAAUUCGGGUUACUGUCACCACUGUUCCUGUUACCUUCCGGUGAAGUUGGGGCGAUUAAUAGUGCAUUUCGUGACACACUGCACUGGAUAAUGUCUCUCUUCGUGUGUAUGUGUUCGUCCCCACCAAAUAAACACAAGAUCCAGAUUCAAAUCAAAUGAAGACGCAGCAGUUUGUGCUCCGUGUGAAACCUUGAGUCAACGCGACCAAAGCUCCGGCUUAACGCCAGGUGAUAACCGUACGUGAGCAGCAUAUCCAUUGUGACCCCCGAGUAGUCAGAUGUCACACAUAGUCACACAUAGUCAGAUGUGAUGACGGUCGUUGUUGCUUGAACUCUACGGGGGAGAUUUUCAUCAGCGUGGUCGGCUUCCACAUGAAAGGCUAAUGAUGCGAUUGUCCCGUCGUGCUGUUGGAUGAAGGAGAGCAGCCGAUCUAAACACCUCGCAUCAUGUAGUGUGCGUCCGUCAGCAGCUUUUCCCUCGUAAUGACCUUUUCCCCUGAUCGCUGCAAUGCCGUCGCGUGAAGCUGCAUUUGCACUUGCCUCACAUACUGAACGUCCUCUCCAACAAUCACACACACACACACAGACACACACACAUGCAGAGAAAUAAAAUGUACAGGGGAACGUUUGCUCGCUUUAGCCGUCUGACUAAUGACGUCAGAACGGGGCCGUCAUCACUAC
ensembl:lncRNA